CGAGGCUGCACCCCCACGGGGCCAAGGAAGGUCAAGGUCACUGCAGGCGCCCUCAAACCCCAGGGACACUUGGGGGAUGGGGCUGGGCAGCCACCAGGAUGGAAUUUUUAACUUGUGAGCGAGGGGCCCUGACUUUGAGGGUUGCACCCCUGUGGGAGGCCCACCCGGCCUGACUGCCACGGGCACAGCCUAAAGACACCAGGAUAAACCCAGAUGCUGUUGUCCGGGGUUUCAAAACAUGCAUCGGAUGUUUCAGAUUAAUUCAAUUACUUUUUCGAUGUGCGUCUUCCUAGAGGGAAGAUCCAGAAAGGGAGACAGAACCCUGCAAGUGGUUCACUUGACAGGGCUGUGCUGUGGGUGACCCCUGGGCAGGUGCAAUAGCCAUUCGCUUAACCAGGUGACCGCCUCUGGGCGUGAUUUGUGCAUGUGAGGAAGGGGUGUGGGUGGCUUGGUGCGGCACCAACUGGUGAGAGUCCGUGAAUGUCUCACCGACUGAGAAUUUGGGGCAGGGCAUGGGGGAGAAAAAAGCAGGGCACACAGGGUGAAGUCUGAGAACGUGGAGCCGGGUAACAUGACCUCUGAGGACAGGGCCAGGGCAGACCAAAAGCCCCCAUGGAGGAGGGAGGAGAGAAGACUGGAGGCUGAGAGGCUCUUCCCCGGGGCUUGCAGGGACCCCCCCUCCCCGCCCCUGCCACUGCCCUGGGAGCAGCUGACUCUGGUCUUCCCUGCCAGUUUCCCCAAGCUGUGUUAGGUAGGCCAUGAGCCCCCAGAGGCCCUGCACUCACUAACGGUCGAGGGGCAGAAUUUGUCUUUGUUGGCACCAAAGGCAUACAGGCGGCAGCAGGAGGACGGGGUCAGCCAGUCAAUGAAGUCAUCCACCCAGGAAGAGGCAGGGAUGGCCAGGAGAAGCUGUCGCAUCCUGCGCUCGAGCAAAUGGCAUUCAUUCCCGCCUCGCUGGAGAAGUUGUAGCCUCCAGUGGUGACGAAGUAGACUGGAGCCCCGACCUCAAAGUAGCGGUUCAGAAAGAGGAAAUAGUCGAGCAGCACAGCCCACAGGCGUGUGCACGUGGAGACAGGCGGUGUGUCAGGCACCUGCAUGGCCUGUUCCUUUCUCCCAAAACCUCUGAGCGCUGGAAGAGAAGACGGAGUACGAGAUGCCAGGAGUCCACCCCCGCCCCCAACCUAGACACAACUGCACAACCUGUCUGAUGGGGUCUGCAGCCCUGGGGGCAGUUGAGGGCUCACAGCUUCCAGGGAAAGGCCUGGAUGGUGAACUGUGCUUCAUGUCAUCACCUUCAGCUCCCAGCACAUGCAGGUGUCUCAGGGGCAGUUUGUAUACCGCUUGCAGGGUCCAGCGUGGGACAUAAGGACCCCACACUCUAUACAUGGCAGAUUUGCGUUCUAAUUGCCGGUCACUGAGCUUCUGAUCUCGGUGGUGCAGAGUCAGGCUGUACCGUGGCCUCCCCCGCCUCCAGCUGGCCCGAAUGCCAGGAUAUUUAAAUGGCAAGUGACUGGCUUAUUUUGUGCUUCAUGUUUCCCCUUUCUCUCCUUUGGGGAGCCAGCCAUUUAAGGAAUAGGACAUUCAAACGCAAAUACCGAAGUCACCGCACAUUACCAGGGAAAGGCACAGGCUCAUCAGACUUUAAUUUUAUACCACAGGCUAAUCUCCUGGACACAGACACAGCAACGUCACAUUUGGGGGGGAAAAAAAGCAAACCUUAGAGAAGGGAGGAGAAUCUGAUCUUCAGAGUUACCGUAUGAUACAACUCAACUGUGUGUUUUUCAACAACAACAAAAAUCGCAAGACACACAAAGAAUCAAAGUGUGGCCCAUACCUAGGAACAAAAACUAAUCAACAGAUGAUCUUGAGAAAGAACGGACAGAAUCAGACAGAAACUUUAAAACAUCUGUCUUGGGAAUGCUUACACAGCCAAAAUAAGAUACGGACAAAGUCAAGAAAAGAAAGUAUGAACAAAGUGGAAAGACCACCAAAUAGAAGACAUAAAACGGAGACCAAGAACAAAUUCCAGAGCUGGAGAGAAGGAGAAAUACAGGAAAAAUUCUGUUCAUAGAUGACAUGAUGGUAUGUAUAUAAAACUAACAUUCCACCAAAAAAACCCUUAAAACUGGUAAAGAAAUUCAGCAAAGUGGCAAGUUAUGAGAUCAAUACGCAAGAAUCAGUUUCAUUUCUAUACACGAACAAUGAAUAACCCAAAAAGGAAGCCAAGGGAAGUGCAGUUAUAAGAGCAUAAAGCGAAUAAAAUACUUAGGGAUUAACUUUACCGAGGGUGUGAAAGACCCUCAUGCUGACAGCCAUGCCACAUCUCAGAAAGAAAUUAAGACACAAAUAAAUGGGGAGAUGCCUGUGCCCACGAGCUGGGAGGAUGAAUAUUAUCCAGGCCACCAAGGAGCCUCCAGCUUCAGUGUGAUGCUAUCAAGAUCCCAAUGACGUUUCUUACAGAAAUAGAAAAAUUCAUCUUAAAAUUCAUAAGGGACUCCAAAGAGCCAAAAUAAUCUUUAAAAAGAAUAAAAGUUGGAGGACUCACAUUUCCUGAUCUCAAAACUGACCACAAAAGCACAGUAAUCUAAGCAGUGAGGUGCUAGCAUAAAGACAGACACACAGACCGAUGGGACAGAAGACAGCCCAGAUGUAAACCCUUGCGUGUAUGGCAACAUAGACUCUGACAAGGGUGCCAAGACCAUUCUGUGGGGAAGGGGAGUCUCUUCAACGCUUGCUGCUGGGGACACGGGACAUCUACACACAAAAGAAUGAAGUUGGACCUUCAAAAAUAUACAUAACUAUGCACAAAAAUUAACUCCAAUGGACCCAACACUUAAGGGCUGAAUUUGUAACUCCUGGAGAGGAAAGCACAGGGGAAACCUUCCAGAUACUGGGUUUGGUGAUUAUUUCUUGAAUGACCCCAGAAGCCUGGGUAACAAAUGGAAAAAUAGGCAAAUUGGAAUUGAUGAAAACUUUAAAAAGUUUUUUAAAAGGUUUUAUUUUUAAGUAAUCGCUACUCCCAGCACAGGGCCUGAACUCACAACCCUGAGAUCAAGAGUUGCACACUCCGACUGGGACAGCCAGGUGCUGUGAGAAUUGAAAACUUCUGUUCAUCAAAAGACAUUUCUGAUAGAGUAGAAAGGCAACCAACAGAAGUGGAAAAGACAUUUGCCAAUCAUGUAUCUGAUUAAAAAUACUCAGGAUAUCUAGAGAAUUCCCAAAACUGAGCAAAGAGACAAACAAACAAAAACAACCAAUCUGAUAAAAAAUGAACAAAAGACUUAAACACACACUUCUCCAAAGAAGACACACAAAUAGCCAAUAAACAUAUGGAAAGAUGCUCAGCAUCACUGAUUAUCUGGGAAAUGCAAAUCAAAACCUCAGUGAGAUGCCCCUUCACACCGGGCAGGAUGGUACUAUCAAAAAGGGGGGUGGGGGUGCCUGGGUGGCUCAGUCGGUUAAGUGUCCGACUUCAGCUUGGGUCAUGAUCUCACAGUUGGUGGGUUCGAGCCCUUCAUCAGGCUGUGCUGACAGCUCAGAGCCUGAAGCCUGCUUCGGAUUCUGUCUCCCUCUCUCUGUGCUCCUCCCCUGCUCGUGCUCUUUCUCUCUCUCUCAAAAUAAAUAAAUAAAGUUAAAAAUAAA